rnacentral:rRNA from 1 species
AGACCGGCGCACGGGUGCGUAACGCGUAUGCAAUCUACCUUUUACAGGGGAAUAGCCCAGAGAAAUUUGGAUUAAUGCCCCAUAGUAUGUAUGAAUCGCAUGGUUUAUACAUUAAAGUUCCAACGGUAAAAGAUGAGCAUGCGUCCCAUUAGUUAGUUGGUAAGGUAACGGCUUACCAAGACGAUGAUGGGUAGGGGUCCUGAGAGGGAGAUCCCCCACACUGGUACUGAGACACGGACCAGACUCCUACGGGAGGCAGCAGUGAGGAAUAUUGGACAAUGGGCGCAAGCCUGAUCCAGCCAUGCCGCGUGCAGGAAGAAGCAUCUAUGGUGUGUAAACUGCUUUUGUACGGGAAGAAACACUCCUUCGUGAAGGAGCUUGACGGUACCGUAAGAAUAAGGAUCGGCUAACUCCGUGCCAGCAGCCGCGGUAAUACGGAGGAUCCAAGCGUUAUCCGGAAUCAUUGGGUUUAAAGGGUCCGUAGGCGGUUUGAUAAGUCAGUGGUGAAAGCCCAUCGCUCAACGAUGGAACGGCCAUUGAUACUGUCAGACUUGAAUUACUAGGAAGUAACUAGAAUAUGUAGUGUAGCGGUGAAAUGCUUAGAUAUUACAUGGAAUACCAAUUGCGAAGGCAGGUUACUACUAGUGGAUUGACGCUGAUGGACGAAAGCGUGGGGAGCGAACAGGAUUAGAUACCCUGGUAGUCCACGCCGUANACGAUGGAUACUAGCUGUUGGGCGCAAGUUCAGUGGCUAAGCGAAAGUGAUAAGUAUCCCACC